AGUGAACGCUGGCGGUAGGCCUAACACAUGCCAGUCGAACGGCAGCACAGUAAGAGCUUGCUCUUACGGGUGGCGAGUGGCGGACGGGUGAGGAAUACAUCGGAAUCUACUUUUUCGUGGGGGAUAACGUAGGGAAACUUACGCUAAUACCGCAUACGACCUACGGGUGAAAGCAGGGGAUCUUCGGACCUUGCGCGAUUGAAUGAGCCGAUGUCGGAUUAGCUAGUUGGCGGGGUAAAGGCCCACCAAGGCGACGAUCCGUAGCUGGUCUGAGAGGAUGAUCAGCCACACUGGAACUGAGACACGGUCCAGACUCGUACGGGAGGCAGCAGUGGGGAAUAUUGGAGAAUGGGCGAAAGCCUGAUCCAGCCAUACCGCGUGAGUGAAGAAGGCCUUCGGGUUGUAAAGCCCUUUUGUUGGGAAAGAAAAGCAGCAGGUUAAUACCCCGCUGUUCUGACGGUACCCAAAGAAUAAGCACCGGCUAACUUCGUG
rnacentral:rRNA from 1 species